GACGAACGCUGGCGGCGUGCUUAACACAUGCAAGUCGAACGGAAAGGCCCCUUUGGGGGUACUCGAGUGGCGAACGGGUGAGUAACACGUGAGUAACCUGCCCUUGACUUCGGGAUAACUUCAGGAAACUGGGGCUAAUACCGGAUAGGAAUCCUUGCUGCAUGGUGGGGGUUGGAAAGCUUCUGCGGUUUUGGAUGGACUCGCGGCUUAUCAGCUUGUUGGUGUGGUAGUGGCUUACCAAGGCUUUGACGGGUAGCCGGCCUGAGAGGGCGACCGGCCACAUUGGGACUGAGAGACGGCCCAGACGCCUACGGGAGGCAGCAGUGGGGAAUAUUGCACAAUGGGCGGAGGCCUGAUGCAGCAACGCCGCGGGCGGGAUGACGGCCUUCGGGUUGUAAACCGCUUUCAGCAGGGGCGAAGCUUGUGGUGACGGUACCUGCAGAAGAAGCACCGGCUAACUACGUG
rnacentral:rRNA from 1 species